UACGGAGGGGGCUAGCGUUGUUCGGAAUUACUGGGCGUAAAGCGCACGUAGGCGGCCUUGCAAGUUAGAGGUGAAAGCCCGGGGCUCAACUCCGGAAUUGCCUUUAAAACUGCAUCGCUAGAAUUGUGGAGAGGUAAGUGGAAUUCCGAGUGUAGAGGUGAAAUUCGUAGAUAUUCGGAAGAACACCAGUGGCGAAGGCGACUUACUGGACACAUAUUGACGCUGAGGUGCGAAAGCGUGGGGAGCAAAUAGG
rnacentral:rRNA from 1 species